CUACGGGCCGCUGCAGUGAGGAAUAUUGCACAAUGGAGGAAACUCUGAUGCAGCAACGCCGCGUGGAGGAUGACGCAUUUCGGUGUGUAAACUCCUUUUAUAUGUCAAGAAAAUGACGGUAGCAUAUGAAUAAGCACCGGCUAACUCCGUGCCAGCAGCCGCGGUAAUACGGAGGGUGCAAGCGUUACGCGGAAUCACUGGGCGUAAAGGACGCGUAGGCGGGAUAUCAAGUCAGGUGUGAAAUCCUACAGCUUAACUGUAGAACUGCACUUGAAACUGGUAACCUAGAGUAUGGGAGGGGGAGAUGGAAUUAGUGGUGUAGGGGUAAAAUCCGUAGAUAUCACUAGGAAUACCUAAAGCGAAGGCGAUCUCCUGGAACAUAACUGACGCUAAGGCGUGAAAGCGUGGGGAGCAAACAGGAUUAGAUACCCUCGUAGUC
rnacentral:rRNA from 1 species